rnacentral:rRNA from 1 species
UCCCUACGGGGGGCAGCAGUGGGGGAUAUUGCACAAUGGGGGGAACCCUGAUGCAGCGACGCCGCGUGAGCGAAGAAGUACCUCGGUAUGUAAAGCUCUAUCAGCAGGGAAGAAAAUGACGGUACCUGACUAAGAAGCCCCGGCUAACUACGUGCCAGCAGCCGCGGUAAUACGUAGGGGGCGAGCGUUAUCCGGAUUUACUGGGUGUAAAGGGGGCGCAGACGGCCAUGGCAAGCCCGGUGUGAAAGGUGCGGGCACAACCCGCAGACUGCACUGGUAACUGCCUGGCUGGAGUGCCGGAGGGG